GAAAAGGAAAAGGAAAAGGAAAGUGCUUAAUUUUGGUUGCAACAUAUGUAAAUUUUCUAACUUUUUGAAGCCCAUGCACCACCGAGGACUUUGAAUCAGGUCAAAAGAGGGGUAAAUAAAUCUUUUUUUAAAAAGGAGGUAAAUAACUACCAAUCCGGGCAGUCGCCCAACUAUUCACAUUGGUGGCUCUGUUUCUUCUCCCAAAUAUUACCAUUGGCAACUACAAAACCCCUCACAGAGUACUUUAGUUACAUGUUAUUGGUUCGAAAAAUUGUAGUACUAAACUCUAUCUCAAGAAACAAUAUAUUGUUUCAGUAUUACUCCACGAUAUUCAAAUACUUGAUCGCAAUCACACACUUGAAAACCAUGCAUAAUUGCAGUUGGUCCAUUCGAAGUUUCUUUCAACGCACAAGUGCCCGUCAUUUGUGAAAGCGGAAACAUUCUUCACAGCUAUAGUAGCCACUUGUGAAAAAGAAAGGUCUGCCAAAACUUUUCAGACCAGAGAUUAUUAGCAUUAGCUAG
rnacentral:lncRNA from 1 species